rnacentral:rRNA from 1 species
GUCCUAAGGUAGCGAAAUUCCUUAUCAGGUAAGUUCUGACGUGCACGAAUAGUAUAAUAAUUUGGGCGCUGUCUCGGCAGCAGACUCGGUGAAAUCUUACUACCGGUGAAGAUGCCGGUUACCCGCGACUAGACGGAAAGACCCCAUGGAGCUUCACUGCAACUUAGUAUUGGCUGACGUAGAAGUAUGCACAGGAUAGGUGGGAGACUUUGAGGCUUGGGCUUUGGCUCAAGCGGAGUCGACGUUGGGAUACCACUCUUGCUUCUAUGUCAUUCUAACUGGUGCCCUGGAUGGGUGUUAGGACAGUGCUAGGCGGGCAGUUUGACUGGGGCGGUCGCCUCCUAAAGUGUAACGGAGGCGCCCAAAGGUACCCUCAGCUUGGUCGGAAAUCAAGCGUAGAGCGCAAAUGCAUAAGGGUGCUUGACUGCGAGCGAGACAUCGCGGGCAGGAACGAAAGUUGGGAUUAGUGACCCGGCGGUCUUGGUAUGGAACGGCCGUCGCUUAACGGAUAAAAGCUACCCUGGGGAUAACAGGCUGAUCGCAUCCAAGAGCUCACUUCGACGAUGCGGUUUGGCACCUCGAUGUCGGCUCAUCGCAUCCUGGAGGGGCAUCACCUUCCAAGGGUUAGGCUGUUCGCCUAUUAAAGCGGUACGCGAGCUGGGUUCAAAACGUCGUGAGACAGUUUGGUCCCUAUCUGUCGUGGGCGUUGGAGGUUUGAAAGGAGCUGCCCUUAGUACGCAAGGAUUGGGGUGGACGAAGCGACGGUCCGCCGGUUGUCACGCCAGUGGCAUGGCCGGGUAGCCGCCUUCGGAACGGAUAAACGCUGAGAGCAUCUAAGCGCGAAGCCGCCCUUAAGAUUAGACCUCCUUCACUUUAAGUGAUAAGUCCCCCGGUAUGUUACCGGGUUGAUAGGUCGCAGAUGUAAGCAUGGUGACAUGUUCAGUCGAGCGAUACUAAUAGGACGACAACUUAUUUCAU